UACGUAGGUGGCGAACGUUAUCCGGAUUCACUGGGCGUAAAGGGCGCGUAGCUGGCUUGUUAAGUCAUUUGUGGGAAAUCGAGGCUCAACCUCGUGGAAGCUAGUAAUACUGUUUUGCUUGAGUACAGAAGAGGUUAACGGAACUCCAUGUGGAGCGGUAAAAUGCGUAGAUAUAUGGAAGAAGACCAAUAACGGCGAAGGCAGUUAACUAUUCUGUUACUGACAUUGAGGCACGAAAGCGUGGGGAGCAAAACGG
rnacentral:rRNA from 1 species